ACUCAAAGGAAUUGACGGGGGCCCGCACAAGCGGCGGAGCAUGUUGCUUAAUUCGAAGCAACGCGAAGAACCUUACCAAGGUUUGACAUGCAGGGAAAAGCCGUAGAGAUACGGUGUCCGCAAGGGCCCUGCACAGGUGGUGCAUGGCUGUCGUCAGCUCGUGUCGUGAGAUGUUGGGUUAAGUCCCGCAACGAGCGCAACCCUCGUCCUAUGUUGCCAGCGGAUAAUGCCGGGGACUCAUAGGAGACUGCCGGGGUCAACUCGGAGGAAGGUGGGGAUGACGUCAAGUCCUCAUGCCCCUUAUAUCUUGGGCUGCAAACAUGCUACAAUGGCCAGUACAGAGGGCUGCGAGACCGUAAGGUGGAGCGAAUCUCAAAAAGCUGGUCUCAGUUCGGAUUGGGGUCUGCAACUCGACCCCAUGAAGUCGGAGUCGCUAGUAAUCGCGAAUCAGCAACGUCGCGGUGAAUACGUUCCCGGGCCUUGUACACACCGCCCGU
rnacentral:rRNA from 1 species